UUGUCCUGCGGGGGGCAGCAGUAGGGAAUCUUCCACAAUGGGCGAAAGCCUGAUGGAGCAACGCCGCGUGGGUGAAGAAGGUCUUCGGAUCGUAAAACCCUGUUGUUUGAGAAGAAAGUGCGUGAGAGUAACUGUUCACGUUUCGACGGUAUCUAACCAGAAAGCCACGGCUAACUACGUGCCAGCAGCCGCGGUAAUACGUAGGUGGCAAGCGUUAUCCGGAUUUACUGGGUGUAAAGGGAGCGUAGACGGUUCUGCAAGUCUGAAGUGAAAGCCCGUGGCUUAACCGCGGAACAGCUUUGGAA
rnacentral:rRNA from 1 species